GAUUCAAUGGGAAUUCCAAUUGGAUUCAGUGGGAAUUCCAAUUGGAUUCAGUGGGAAUUCCAAUUGGAUUCAAUGGGAAUUCCAAUAGGAAAUUGGGCCA